AUUGAACGCUGGCGGCAUGCCUAACACAUGCAAGUCGAACGGGGGGCUUCGGCCCCUAGUGGCGGACGGGUGAGUAACGCGUAGGAAUCUACCUUAAGGUGGGGGACAACCUGGGGAAACCCAGGCUAAUACCGCAUACGCUCGUGAGAGGAAAGCGGGGGACCUUCGGGCCUCGCGCCGAAAGAAGAGCCUACGUCCGAUUAGCUGGUUGGCAGGGUAAAAGCCUACCAAGGCGACGAUCGGUAGCUGGUCUGAGAGGAUGAUCAGCCACACUGGGACUGAGACACGGCCCAGACUCCUACGGGAGGCAGCAGUGGGGAAUAUUGGACAAUGGGCGCAAGCCUGAUCCAGCAAUGCCGCGUGGGUGAAGACGGCCUGCGGGUUGUAAAGCCCUUUAGGUGGGGAAGAACGGUGGUGUGCGAACAGUGCGCCGCCUUGACGUUACCCACGGAAUAAGCACCGGCUAACUCCGUGC
rnacentral:rRNA from 1 species